rnacentral:lncRNA from 10 species
GGAUGGCAUUGGGCACCUACUGAGUGAUCAAUACUUGUGACUGGAUGGGUGCAUGAGUGACUGGAUGACAAACACCUCCCACCCCGCAAGGAUUGCUGGGAAGGUGGGGGGAGGCGUGAAUCUGCAGUGGCUUCAGGCUUCCAGGAGGUAGAACUUUCUCCAGGUGACGAUGCCCAAGUGCAGAUGUGGGGAACAGACAGGUGGAUUCAUGCAGAAAAGCAAGCAGAAGAGAAUAAAUAUUGCUCUCAACUGGAACUCCCUGAAACAACCUCUUGGAAUAUUGUUGCCCCGCAUUGCACUGACACAGGAGCGUGCUGGGCAGCCCACGUGAUUCCCUUCACACCACUUCCCUGGCAUGGAUGUGAUUCCACAAUAUUUUAAACAUUAAAGCCAAUGGGGAUGAUGAUCACUGAGUCUGGCUCACAGGAUGGUGGGAGGUCCCCAGGUUGGGGUGUGCCAAAGGCUCUGCCCAGUGCCUGGCACAGCAAAUGCCCAGGUGGCUGCUGCUUUCCACUGAGACUUGAGGCUCCUGAGAGUUGGUGGCAAAGGGCUCACCCAGAGCUGAAGACUCCAGCCCAUUCCUGUGCGAGGGCUCCAGGCACCUUGGAAGCACCGUGGGCCGGGGAGCCAGGCCAGGCUGGUUGUGGAUCCCCAUGAGUCCUUGUCACUGUGUGGCCCAGCUGGAAAGCAUGGUCAAUAAUGUCUGGGAAUUGUGAAAAUUGUGUGAAGUGUCUGCACACAGUAGGUGCUCAGUAAAGGUUUGUUGAGUGCGUAAAUGAACAAGUGACCCG